UGAGGAAUAUUGCACAAUGGGCGAAAGCCUGAUGCAGCGACGCCGCGUGGGUGAAGAAGGUCUUCGGAUCGUAAAGCCCUUUUCUGCGUGACGAGGAAGGACGGUAGCGCAGGAAUAAGUCUCGGCUAACUACGUGCCAGCAGCCGCGGUAAAACGUAGGAGACAAACGUUAUCCGGAGUUACUGGGCGUAAAGGGCGUGCAGGCGGUUUCUUAAGUUCGUCGUGAAAUCGCCCGGCUUAACCGGGCGGGGUCGAUGGAUACUGGGGAACUAGAGGGCGGUAGAGGCGUGUGGAAUUCCGGGUGUAGUGGUGAAAUGCGUAGAUAUCCGGAGGAACACCAGUGGCGAAGGCGACACGCUGGGCCGUACCUGACGCUAAGACGCGACAGCAUGGGGAGCGAAC
rnacentral:rRNA from 1 species